UACAGAGGUCCCAAGCGUUGUUCGGAUUCACUGGGCGUAAAGGGUGCGUAGGUGGUGAGGUAAGUCGGAUGUGAAAGCUCGGAGCUCAACUCCGAAAUGGCAUUGGAAACUACCUUGCUCGAGGGUUGGAGGGGGGACUGGAAUACUUGGUGUAGCAGUGAAAUGCGUAGAUAUCAAGUGGAACACCAGUGGCGAAGGCGAGUCCCUGGACAACUCCUGACACUGAGGCACGAAAGCUAGGGUAGCGAACGGG
rnacentral:rRNA from 1 species